CGAUUGGUUAGACAGGUGCUUGGAGGGGUUGUAUCGGACCUAAGAGUAGAGGUUGAUUCCACUCUCCCACCACGCACUUUUCGUAUCAUCCUAGAUCUGGAUGCCCUUCAUGGAACCUAAAAACCAGCGAGUCCCGGAAAGGCCUCAGGCAAUUGCCAAGCCGAUGGCCUUCUGCCACUUAGUUAAUGUGCACCUGGCAGCUUAGGUGGCCGCGGAGAAAGCAACUUUGGCUGCACCAAGGUCCGGCACAAGUCUGGAGAAGCUUCAGCCAGUUCCAGUGAGUUGGGAUAAAUGAAACGUGGAUCUACCAUAGACGUCUGUCCGUCUUACUGGAUAAGCGAGCACCUUUACCGGGGAAGUUAGAUGGCUGGAGUCAGCUGGCAAAUACAGAAGCAGGAAACAUUACACUGAAGCUCAGAAAAUAAUAUCCCCAAAUGAAGGCAUCAGAAAUAAAAGUUCUUCUCUGACCUUCUUUCUCUCAAGAUUCACGUGUCUGGAUUUGUUGACUUAGUGGGUUGGCACAGGGUACAUGCAGACCCCAGGUCAAAUGAGUACUGAGAUUUUUCUCUUCUAUGAGAUGUAUUUCAAUCCCCUGAAGUUUCCACGGGAAUUCUUUAUUUCAUGGUGGAUGAGGUCGUAUGUCCUGUCCCAUAACUGUCCUGCCACCAUCACCUGAUUUUCAACCAUAACCUGUUUUUGGUCAUGCUCUGAGCCCCCAUUUUUUCUGUAACCUCCAGGUGGUGUUUAAGCUGCUGCACCCCAUUGAGGGGUUAGUGGUAAUCGCUCUGUGGUUCCCUCUGUGUGCACACGAAUAAAUUUGUAUGCCUUUUCUCCAAUUAAUCCUGCCUUUUGUGAGUUGAUUUUUCAGCGAAACUUCAGAGGACAAAGUGGAAGUUUUCCCUUGGCCCCUAUAAUUCUUUCAUAUUGCCUUAAUUUCUUACAUUAUGACUAUAUUUAUGUAUUUCUUAUAUAAUUUAAAAUAAAAGGUAUAUGAUUAACAUUAGAAUACAAUGAUGUUCAUGAAUGGCACCCAUCCACUUGAGCCCCAGUAAAUUGCUGCCCCUGUGGUCUUAGCACUAAGACCGGGGAGUGGCAUUUCGGCUGGGAGGGUGUUUGCAAAUCUGUAGCUAGUGUAGCUCCUGCAGCUUGUGCCAAUGCGGACAGCGUCAUCAGCCAUCCACUGACCCCACCAAGGUGCAAGCAGCCCCAGGGCAAAGUCAGGGAGCUGCUGGAUAACAAAGGGCAAAUUCUAUAACUUUUCCAAUUCUCAGUUUUUUCAUCUUUAAAAUGGGAAUAAAGGCAAUGAUAGCAGUCCCAGCUCACUCAUAGAGUUUUAGUUUGUUUUUGUUUUUGUUUGUUUGUUUGUUUUUUCCUGGCAAUAUCCUGCUUGAUAUUUCCAUGCAUUGCAGCUCUGACCUAGUGACUGAAGACUGAAACAAGGUAAAAGGUCAAAGGCGGAUGAUGAAUGGCUGGAGCCAAACUGGGAUGAGUUAACUAACUGAUACAUAUCAUAGUGACCUAGUUCUGCCUGGCAUCUUUGCAGAACUAAAACUGGGACCUAAAUAGCAUUGUUUCCAGGAGAAGAAAACUGGUUGGCAAUUUGUCAAAAUAGUAGAAGCGAGGUCUCAGCCCCGUUUUUUUUUUUUAUGGCCUUAUGAAUUUUAAGUAACCUCAGGAAGGCAUUGGAAGUUUUCCUUGAGAUAGAAAUCUCUCCCUCUGUCCUUUUCAAAGCCUCCAUGGACAAAAUACUAUCAAAAUGAUCGUUAUUCUGCCAGUCAUGUUAACAAGGAAGUGUGCAUUUUAAUAAUUUUUCAUUCCUUUUCCCCAGAGAGAUAGACACAGGGAAUGCCAGCUCAAAGGCCAAUGUAUCCACACAUCCACCCUUAAUUAAAUAGGUGGGCAAGAGUAUACAUUUUGCAAUUUAAAAAACUAUUUUACUACAGAACUAGAUUCCUACUUUUUCUGGGUUUAAAGACACACAUGGUCUUAGCAUAUGUACAUACAUAUAUAAAGUGAGUAAGGCAAUCUAGAAAUGUACACAAAAGAAAGUAAAAUUCUUCCCCAAACUCACCACCAGGAGAUACUGCAAAUGACAGCUUUGUGCAUGUCCAUUUCUGAAAAGUAUGUUUUCCUUUAUAUAUAUUUAAAUUUUUUUCCAGUACAAAUACAUCAGGGAAGCCAAUGGCUGUCUACUGUUUCACUUGCUCAGUGUAUAGUAAUAAUAGACAAAAAUACUUUUUUCUCCCUUUCAGAAAGUCCUGCUUUCAAGGGAGGUUGAUUCUCUGUUACCACAGUCGGGGGCUACAUUGAUAGAAUUAUUCCACAGCAUUCCUGAAAACUCGGUCUGGUAAUUUUUCUGCCCUUUUCACUUCCUGCAGGUCAAACAUCCUAAAGACCAACAAGAGUUUUGACAUUUAGGCUCAACCCCUAUUCUGGGGGAGUGCCUGUACACUUAGGAUUCAGUGGGACAACCUCUCUACCUUCUUCCCUCAGUUUUGUGUGUUGAUUAUUACUGGCCUGACUUUUUAGCCAUUUUCUGUCCCUUUCUCUAAUAAGAUAAAACUUGGUGUGGAACCUACCCAGUAAGUUUGGUGAAGUUUCUAACCAUCUAUGAAGUAGUGCCUUCUGUGCUCCCUUCUACCCCCACCCCCGCAGCCAGUGCUGGUUCCCCACACCUGGUCACUAGGCUCUGUAAGCUUCUCAGGGCCAGCCAGUUCUGCGCUGGCACCAAGCCAGUCUCAGCAAACAAAGAACAAUCGGCAUGUUGUUCUCAAUCCAGUUCACACUUAAAACCCUCUGGGCCAGGCACAACCUCCCUCCACUGCCCUCAGACUCUUUGACUUUCUGAUUGACUGGGUGGUGACACCUGGGCUGGGGAGCAAAGCAGUAAGGAGAGGCAGCAGAAAGCAAUAGUUAUGCUUCCGUUGCAGAAGCACCUUCCACUCCCUGUCCAGGCUGGUGAAGAUCUUCCAUGACAUUAAUCCUUGCAAAGGCUAUGUUUCCUCCCCACCUCCAAUAGGUAGAAUAAGUGGAAGAAACGCCAACACAAUACUGAUUGUUUUUUCUUUAUUUGAUUACUCUAAGGCUGCUUUUGAAAUAUCAAAUGUGAAGCUUUUUCUAAAAACAUAUUUUGUUGUCUGCCCUAAGCACAUGCUUAGCCUGCCUAUAAUGUAAACCAGCUAUGGUGGCCAGACAUACACACAUCAGAAUUUGGGAAACUGGUAGCAUUUUCAUUUACUAGUAGCAUUUUCACUUCAAUUUCAAUAACAUUCAAUAAUAAUUAAUAAUUUCUGCCAGUGAAAUCUUACUACUGGAAAUCCAAAACUGAUGUUUGUUCUACUUAAAUGUAAAUUUCUUGACCCAUCACACUUUGAUAAGUAUUGCUAAGAGGUGGAAGAAAAAGAUACCUACAAAACUUAAGAAACUUUGCCCUCAAUAGCAUAUUUUUUAAAGUAAAACUUUAUUUUCCUUGCAGUCCCUUUGAAGAUGUUUUAACUUUUAGAAAUCGAAGACCUAGUUAUGUGACAAAUAUUAAAAUCACCAGGAGAGAAUUUUUAAUGUACCAUUGCCCAGGCCUCCCUCCUGCACACUCCUCCAUGCUGAGUUGCCAUAGGGUGGCUGUCAUCUCUAUUGCUUUAAAAGCUUCCCAGGUGAUUCUAAUAUGAAGCCAGCUUUGAGACCCAGUAAGAAGACGUGUGUACACCCCAUCAGAUGGUCCAGGAGAAAAUAAUGCAGUGACUAACUCAUCAGUAGUUUCCGUCUGUCUUCCAUUAACAAAAACGGUUACCAUUUCAGAUUAACUCAGCAAAAAAAAAUAUGAAUUAAAUUAUAACAGAAGGUACUAGAGAUACCGAUAUAGAGAAUUGUAGAUAUGUCUAGUAAACUAUGUCCAUGUAUGUUAAAUCUUAACUAUCAAGACAUUUCAUUAGGGUACUUGUGAAUCAUGUAUGGCCUGGAAUGGUGAAAUUCAAGUCUUGGAGUAUCUCUUUCAUACUCUUAGCUACUCUAGUUGCCACUGGCAACCUUAGACCAUGUUGAUUUGUGUCCUUCAGGAGGCUUAAGCCUCUGUAAGUAACUGAUGGUCCAGCAUAGCCAGUAUUUCCAGUCCUUUGCCACAAUUGCUCUCAGUGUGUCUGAACACAGCUUUUUCCCUGCACAGGGGUUGAGCAGCAGAGAUCUGCCACUGCCUCUCCAAAUGUACAUCAAUGGCAUCUAUCCCAAGCUGGGGUCAGGGCUACAGAUACAGGCAGUAGUAUCUCCUCAUUGUUGUU
rnacentral:lncRNA from 1 species